rnacentral:rRNA from 1 species
GAGUCUGCAACCCGACUCCACGAAGUUGGAUUCGCUAGUAAUCGCGCAUCAGCCAUGGCGCGGUGAAUACGUUCCCGGGCCUUGUACACACCGCCCGUCAAGCCAUGGGAGCCGGGGGCGCCUGAAGUCCGGGACCGCGAGGACCGGCCUAGGGCGAAACUGGUAACUGGGGGCUAAGUCGUAACAAGGUAGC